rnacentral:rRNA from 1 species
AUUGAACGCUGGCGGCAUGCUUUACACAUGCAAGUCGAACGGCAGCACGGACUUCGGUCUGGUGGCGAGUGGCGAACGGGUGAGUAAUACAUCGGAACGUACCCAGUAAUGGGGGAUAACUAUCCGAAAGGAUAGCUAAUACCGCAUACGCCCUACGGGGGAAAGAGGGGGAUCGCACGACCUCUUGUUAUUGGAGCGGCCGAUGGCUGAUUAGCUAGUUGGUGAGGUAAAGGCUCACCAAGGCGACGAUCAGUAGCGGGUCUUAGAGGACGAUCCGCCACACUGGAACUGAGACACGGUCCAGACUCCUACGGGAGGCAGCAGUGGGGAAUCUUGGACAAUGGGCGCAAGCCUGAUCCAGCAAUGCCGCGUGCGUGAAGAAGGCCUUCGGGUUGUAAAGCGCUUUUGUCAGGGAGCAAAUCCUUGUGGCUAAUACCCACCGGGGAUGAGAGUACCUGAAGAAUAAGGACCGGCUAACUACGUGCCAGCAGCCGCCGUAACAC